GUCAGCCAUGCCGUUGUCUUCAACCGUCCGCCCGCGGGCUGCGGCCCGCCUCACCCGUGCACGCCCAAACUCCUCACGGCCGCAACCGCCAGCCUGCCCCCCAUGACACUCGUCUCCACGUCAUCCGUCCUUCAAGUAGGAAGACCCGGAGCCCCGUGCGCAUCCCGCUCCCCAUUCGUGCAGUUGCUCAGCCAUCUCCCUGCUCUCGCACACCCCGGAGCGCCCUUGUCAAGCCGACGACGUCCGUCCAUCGCCGUCGUUGUGCUCCCAUCGUCCCUCUUGCGCCGAAACACUCGCCAGAGGGAUAGGCUCAGGAGUUGACCUGAAUUCAAGGACCGUGGGAAUACAUGAAUACAUGAUGCUGCCUGUCCCAGCCAGAAAGCCAAGACCAAAAUGCAUGCUUCCAUUUCCGUGCAGUUGGUUCUCGUGGAGAAAUGGAACUUGGCAAAUUAAAUAUCUCUACAUCGCUCCUAGAUCUCACUCAUUCCUGCCCGGUGGCUGCAAUUGCCGAAUGCUCUCAUCUAGCCUUCAUGGCAAAAAAAAUAUGCCAGCCUUGGUUUGACACCCACCCACACUGGAACGCCAAGCCUAGUCGGCGUGAAGUAGUUUUUAAUUAAGUCAAUAUUAGAAGCCCAAUUUAGAACAAUCCCUUGGGUCUUUCGAUCCUUAUGAGCGCUUUUCUAGUUAAGUAUUACAGAUCUGUAGCAUUAAAACAUUGUUCCUCUUAUUCUUUGUAUCUCUUGUAGGUAUUAGACUUGUCGCAAACAUUGUUCAUCCUAUUCUUCUUGGGUCCGGUGUACAUGGCACUUUGGUGCAUAUAUUAAAUCAUGUCCAUCUAUUCUA